rnacentral:rRNA from 1 species
UACAGAGGGGGCAAGCGUUUAUUCGGAAUUAUUGGGCGUAAAGGGCGCGUAGGCGGCUUGGCAAGUGGAAGGUGAAAUCCCUCGGCUUAACCGAGGAACUGCCUCCCAAACUGCUUGGCUUGAGACCGGGAGAGGUGAGUGGAAUUCCCAGUGUAGCGGUGAAAUGCGUAGAUAUUGGGAGGAACACCAGUGGCGAAGGCGGCUCACUGGACCGGUACUGACGCUGAGGAGCGAAAGCGUGGGGAGCGAACAGG